rnacentral:rRNA from 1 species
GACGAACGCUGGCGGCGUGCUUAACACAUGCAAGUCGAACGGUAAGGCCCUUCGGGGUACACGAGUGGCGAACGGGUGAGUAACACGUGGGUGAUCUGCCCUGCACUUCGGGAUAAGCCUGGGAAACUGGGUCUAAUACCGGAUAGGACCACUGCCUGCAUGGGUGGUGGUGGAAAGCUUUUGCGGUGUGGGAUGGGCCCGCGGCCUAUCAGCUUGUUGGUGGGGUGAUGGCCUACCAAGGCGACGACGGGUAGCCGGCCUGAGAGGGUGACCGGCCACACUGGGGCUGAGAUACGGCCCAGACUCCUACGGGAGGCAGCAGUGGGGAAUAUUGCACAAUGGGCGCAAGCCUGGUGCAGCGACGCCGCGUGAGGGAUGACGGCCUUCGGGUUGUAACCUCUUUCAGCACCGACGAAGCGAAAGUGACGGUACCUGCAGAAAAAGCACCGGCUAACUACGUGCCAGCCGCCGCAGUAA